rnacentral:rRNA from 1 species
GUAGUCUCGCACAGAUGCAUAUCAAUAAGCGGAGGAAAAGAAACUAACUAGGAUUCCCUCAGUAACGGCGAGUGAAGCGGGAAGAGCUCAAAUUUGAAAUCUUCAAGGUUCUACCUUGACGAAUUGUAGUUUAAAGAAGUGUUUUCUGUUGGAGUUUUGGUAAAAGUUCUUUGGAAUAGGACAUCAUAGAGGGUGAGAAUCCCGUAUUUGACCAUUAUUUCCAGCUUUGUGAUACACUUUCAAAGAGUCGGAUUGUUCGGGAAUGCAGUCCAAAAUGGGUGGUAAAUAUCAUCUAAAGCUAAAUAUUGGCGAGAGACCGAUAGCGAACAAGUACCGUGAGGGAAAGAUGAAAAGAACUUUGAAAAGAGAGUUAAACAGUACGUGAAAUUGUCAAAAGGGAAGCGUUUGACACCAAUGUUGUUUUCUCGAAAAUCAAUUAAAAAAGGCAGGAUUUUGUGUUGUAUUGACUUUAUCAGCUUUCUGCACUCUUUUCUUGUCUUUUUUAAUGCACUUUUCGUUUAACAAGUCAACAUCAAUUUCUUUUGUUGUAAAAGGGUCAUUGGAAGGUGGCUUUCUUUUCGGAGAAAGUGUUUAUAGCCUUUGGCCUCUGCAAUCGGAGAGAUUGAGGUCUGCAGCGUAGAUCCUUCGGGGUUAGAUACAUUUGUGCUAAGUUAUAGCCUUUCAUAGACAACUUGUUGACUAUGAUCAGUCAUGUAGCUUACUCGCUUAUGCUAUUUUACCUACGCUUAGGAUGUUGAAGUCAUCGUAUCGCGC